rnacentral:rRNA from 1 species
GAUUAACGCUGGCGGCAUGCCUAAUACAUGCAAGUCGAACGAGGUCACUUGUGACCUAGUGGCGAACGGGUGAGUAACACGUAGGGAACCUGCCUCAAAGUCGAGGAUAACUAUUGGAAACGAUAGCUAAGACUGGAUAGUAUACGAAAAGGCAUCUUUUUGUAUUUAAAGGUCCGUUUGGAACGCUUUGAGAUGGCCCUGCGGCGCAUUAGCUAGUUGGUGAGGUAACGCCACCAAGGCGACGAUGCGUAGCUGUGCUGAGAGGCAAAACAGCCACACUGGGACUGAGACACGGCCCAGACUCCUACGGGAGGCAGCAGUAGGGAAUUUUCGGCAAUGGGGGAAACCCUGACCGAGCAAUGCCGCGUGAAUGAUGAAAUUCUUCGGAAUGUAAAGUUCUGUUGUGAAGGAAGAAUGGUAGCUUGAGGAAAUGCUUGCUAUUUGACGGUACUUCACUAGAAAGCCCCGGNUAACUAUGUGCCAGCAGCCGC